CGCCACGCGUGACCACCAUCGCAGUGUAGCCAACACCGUUGCCGGCCUAUCAACGGUAUCGGUACGAGGAGACGGCGAACACACGUGUAAUCACAUGUGCAUGGAAUGUUACCGACGUCGCGUGAACGAACGAAUAUUGAAUUCGUACAGCGGUUAACGCACCUUUCUGUGCCGUUGGUACAAUGUUUAAUGAUUAGUUAAUCAGUUCUACUCGUUUUCAAAGUCGGCGGCGGUCUCCGUGUUGUGCACCGUGAUUGUUAAAAGAUAAACCCGCGUUGUACUUGUGUCCAAGUUUCUUCGUCCCUCGUUUCCCGUAAUCACGUAGUGGGAGUGGUUCGUUCGGUUCGUCGUAAACAUUUUCGACCGUGCAUAGAAGACGGAACCGCGCUGCAACGCAGUCAUGUACCACCAAGUGAUCUUAGUUACACGCGACGAAAUGGUUUUCUCUUGAUAUAUUAGGAAAAACAUCGAAAUGAUUUAGUGGUUUUAUAAUUGAUCUACCGUGGGUCAAUGAAAUCAUCGAAAUCGUUGAAAAGAAACGCUUCUGCACGCGGAACUGGCCGUAUUAGUCACCGAAAUCGCAUGCGCACGUGAACAAUUUGUAACGUUUGACUCUCCUCUAUGUGUCGGAUUAUCAAGUUUUAAAUGUUGAAUGAUUGAUGGAGAACAGUUCCUCCCAAACCGCAAGAGCUGCUUGGCUUGUCCGCGGCAAAGUGGCGGGCGGCUGAACCAGCGGUGGGAUGUCCUGGAUUGAGUUGGUAAUAAAAAAAAAAGAUAAAAUACAACGGGCAGCGGCACUGUGGAUGGCAGCUAAUGUUCGUAUUGCUAGGGAAGUUGACGACGUCACAGUUGAUGAAGUUCAACUGCCAGUUGUCAGUUUACUUAACUACGGGGAACUACGUUACAUAUAGUGAUAUACAACGAAUUAUAUUCUAUAUGCAUAGUACCCAAAGAAGUUCGACAGAACAACUGCGAGAGAGGAGAUUUAGAGUUAAUUCGGCCGGGUAUUUAAGCGUGUCAGAUCUGGAUUUGUAUAGCAGAGUGUAGAUUAGCGAUGUUUUUGGUUUUUCUUAGUUUUCUUUUAAAUUGAAGAUGUAUUGUGACGCGGAGUAGUUUCGAGAAGUGCUUACAGAUAUAUAUUGAUGAUUUUUUAGCAGUGGAGAUCACGAAAUUAAUUUGAAAGAUUAGAAAAUGUAAAAAGAAGUUCGGAAAGAAAAUCGUCAGUGAAAAAAGAGCUCUCUAUAUUGGAUAUUAAAUGACGCGAAAGGUGCGACGCGCCGCGCAUGUCAAAGAGAGCGGGUUCGUCGGUGUCAGUUGCAUAAUUGGACACCGCUAGGUGGCGACACAUACGUGGUUCACGCUACAAAU